rfam:Lupinus angustifolius cultivar Tanjil chromosome LG14, whole genome shotgun sequence.
AGGUGUGAUCAUACCAACACUAAUGCACCGGAUCAUAUCAGGACUUCGUAGUUAAGCGCGCUUAGAGGAGAGUAGUAUAAGGAUGGGUGACCUCCUGGGAAGUCUUCAUGUUGCACCUC